GCGCUGGCUUAGCUCAGUGGUUACUUCAACUUGGUUUCUGUUUCACGGUCCGCGGGCUAUGAAGUACGAACCACGGGCGCUGUCCAACGCUUUU
ensembl:vault_RNA Vault Vault RNA